rnacentral:rRNA from 1 species
CGCGUAGGUGGUUUGUUAAGCGAAGAUGUGAAAGCCCCGGGCUUAACCUGGGAACGGCAUUUCGAACUGGCAGGCUAGAGUGUGGUAGAGGGUAGUGGAAUUUCCUGUGUAGCGGUGAAAUGCGUAGAUAUAGGAAGGAACACCAGUGGCGAAGGCGGGCUAACCUGGACCAACACUGACACUGAGGUGCGAAAGCGUGGGGAGCAAACA